AUGGCCUCCGGCCCAGCAGCUGCUGAAGAGCUGCUGGGGGAGGUUGGCGUCGGGGACGCAUUGGGGAUGAACCGGUUGCUGCAAGGGAGUUCAUCGUCCAAGAACGGCGUUGCCGUGUCCGGAAGGCAGGGCCGACGGUGUGGCUGGGGUGCGGCGGUGCUGACAUGGCGAGGCAGGGAGGUCCGGCGGGGUCAUGGGCAUCAGAUCCGGCGAUGGCUGCUCGACCUCGACCGGAUCUGCAGGGUCGUGCGCGACGUCAGGAGCUCGGGCGGCGGCAGCGUGAAGGACCUCCAUGGCCAGCUCCUGCGGAAGAGAGAACUUCGUGUGAGAGGGAAAUAA
rnacentral:rRNA from 1 species